CAGCAGCUGGUGGGACUUGCUGAAAAUUAUGCAGAAGCAGCAGUUAACAGAACUUACAUAACGAUGAGUGGAAGGUUGGGAGCUCGGUAACAAGUCAAACCAGCCCAACACAGCUUGUUCAGAAGCAUGUUGCACAGCUUACAUAACCAGGGCUAACAAUUUCAUAUGUAACACUUCUCCAAGGAAUAUGUAUAUCCCUAGUUAAUAGAUACGUGUAUCAUCUUGAGCCAGGCAUGCCCAUCGGGCAGAGUUAUUCCCUCGCAUGCCCAACUGCAUAAUAAGGGACGCACAGUGGAUGAUGUCAAAGGAAAACAGCAACAUGUUCACAAAGUGUAUCCUUAAAUUAUUUCUGAGGGCACAGAGCUGGGGAGGCUAGUUAGGGAAAACAAAGUGCUCUUUCUUGAGGGAAGUAACACAGGAGUAAUUCACAAGCAGCCAUCAGUCACCAGGGUGGUACUGUUGUAGACAGAAGGCACUACUGCACAGGAGUGAAGCUUUCUGCUUACAGCAGUGCUAGAAUCCACUGGACUACAAGCACAGAAAUAUGGUGAUGGAGGAGGAGCACCCAGCAGCUACGAAAACUGUACUAAGACUAAAAAAAGACGACUUCUAGUGCAUAAAGAGGUAUGGCACAAUAAAGCUUCUGUCCUGUACAAACCUGUACAGAAGAAAGCAUCAAUUUUCUUUACUGAGGUGGUGGAAAGACUUUCUCAUGAAUACCCUGUGCAAGAGUGAAGUUUGGAAGGAUAAAGAAUAUUAAAGAUCAGUGUUUGAACAGUUGUUUUAAAACGGGUUACUAAAACCUGACAUUUUUGGUUCUAAUGUUAGGGAUCAAUUGAUUACACACUUGACAAAUUGUUUUAGGGUUUAUCUGUAAAUCUAGCUGUAAUACACCAACUUCUAAUUCAACACUAUUUUAUAGGAUCCACAAUGGCUUUACUCUAAGUUGCUCCAUAUACUCAGUUUCCAUUUUUCCCAAUUUGAAAUUAACUGCGUCUUUUAUAGUACAAUCUGGAAAAUUCUUGGAAAUAAAUGAUGCUUUGUGCUACUC